CACAUGCAAGUCGAACGGACUUAAGGGGCUUGCUUCUUAAGUUAGUGGCGCACGGGUGAGUAAUAUAUAGCUAACCUGCCCUUUAGUGGGGGACAACAGUUGGAAACGACUGCUAAUACCCUAUACUCCUUCUUGUCUUAAGACGAGUCGGGAAAGAUUUAUCGCUAAAGGAUGGGGCUUUAUUGUAUCAGCUAGUUGGUGAGGUAAUGGCUCACCAAGGCAAUGACGCAUACCUGGUCUGAGAGGAUGAUCAGGCACACUGGAACUGAGACACGGUCCAGACUCCUACGGGAGGCAGCAGUGGGGAAUAUUGCACAAUGGAGGAAACUCUGAUGCAGCAACGCCGCGUGGAGGAUGACGCAUUUCGGUGUGUAAACUCCUUUUAUAGGGGAAGAUAAUGACGGUACCCUAUGAAUAAGCACCGGCUAACUCCGUGCCAGCAGCCGCGGUAAUACGGAGGGUGCAAGCGUUACUCGGAAUCACUGGGCGUAAAGGAUGCGUAGGCUGGAAAUC
rnacentral:rRNA from 1 species